CCUACGGGAGGCAGCAGUGAGGAAUAUUGGUCAAUGGCCGGAAGGCUGAACCAGCCAAGCCGCGUGAAGGACGAAGGUGCCAAGCAUUGUAAACUUCUUUUGUCAAGGGACAAAAUCAGGCUCGAGAGCCUGACCGAGGGUACUUGAAGAAAAAGCAUCGGCUAACUCCGUGCCAGCAGCCGCGGUAAUACGGAGGAUGCGAGCGUUAUCCGGAUUUAUUGGGUUUAAAGGGUGCGUAGGCGGGCUGUUAAGUCAGCGGGAAAAGCCCGGGGCUCAACCCCGGCGAGCCGUUGAAACUGGGUGUCUUGAGAUGUCGAGAGGUAUGCGGAAUGCGCAGUGUAGCGGUGAAAUGCUUAGAUAUUGCGCAGAACUCCGAUUGCGAAGGCAGCAUACCGGCGGCGAUCUGACGCUGAGGCACGAAAGCGUGGGUAUCGAACAGGAUUAGAUACCCCUGUAGUC
rnacentral:rRNA from 1 species